rnacentral:rRNA from 1 species
AACGAACGCUGGCGGCGUGGAUAAGGCAUGCAAGUCGAACGAUCUCGCAAGAGAUAGUGGCAGAAGGGUUAAUAACACGUGGGUAAUCUACCCUUGAGACAGGGAUAACCUCCCGAAAGGGGGCUAAUACCAAAUGACACAAAAUACUUCGCAUGAGGGUUUUGUUCAAAGGUGGCUCGCAAGGGCUGCCGCUUAAGGAUGAGCCCGCGCCCUAUCAGCUAGUUGGUGAGGUAACGGCUCACCAAGGCUUUUUGACGGGUAGCUGGUCUAAGAGGACGGUCAGCAACACUGGGACUGAGAUACUGCCCAGACUCCUACGGGAGGCUGCAGUCGAGGAUCUUUAUCAAUGCCCGAAAGGGUGAAUAUGCGACGCCGCGUGUGGGAUGAAG